UGGCCAUAAAAUAGUAGGUGCUCACUAAAUAUGCUACAGUAGUCCCCUCUUAUAUGCAGGGAUUAAUUUCUUAGACCUCUACUAGAGGCCUGAAAUCAAGUAUAGUACUGAACCCUAUAUAUAAUAUGCUUUUGUCUUACAAACACAUACCUGUGAGACAAUUUUAUCUAUAAAUUAGGCACAGAAGGAGAUAAAUAAUAUCUAAUAAUAAAAUAGAAUCCUCAUAACAAUGUAUUUUAAUAAAAGUUAUGUGAAUGCAGUCUCUCUCUCUCAAAAUAGAUAUUGUACUGUACUCACCCUUCUUCUUGUGCUGAUGUGAGACGAUGAAGCCCCCAGGUGAUGAGAUGAGGUGAG
rnacentral:lncRNA from 1 species